UACGAGAGGCCCAACCGUUAUUCGGAAUUACUGGGCUUAAAGAGUUCGUAGGCGGCGCAGAAAGUAGGGUGUGAAAGCCCUCGGCUCAACCGAGGAAUUGCGCUCUAAACUACUGUGCUUGAGGAAGCUAGAGGUGAGCAGAACAGAUGGUGGAGCGGUGAAAUGCGUUGAUAUCAUCUGGAGUACCGGAGGCGAAGGCGGCUCACUGGGGCUUUUCUGACGCUGAGGAACGAAAGCCAGGGUAGCGAACGGG
rnacentral:rRNA from 1 species